UAGGAUAUGACUGAAUUGCUGUAACUAGAUACACUUGCUUUUGUUUUAUCUUAAACAGGAAAAUCAAACUAGAAUUUAAUAAGAAAUGCAAAGCAAGCAUAAAACCAGGAAAUAUGCAUACAGACUACAGAAAGGCUGCAAAGGAAGUGCCCAAAGGCCAAAUGCUAACCUUUGAUGAAGAUUUUUAUUUCUUCCUACCAACGAAAACAAUAAUUUCAUACGUUUCUUCUGUGUUCC
rnacentral:lncRNA from 1 species